UGAGCCUGGAAAACAAAUGCAAUCAACAGUGAAUGCACCUCAAAACACUUUUAGUAGGCCAAGUGACUCACAAACGUUCUCGCAAAGAAUAUAAAACCUUUUCAUUUCCCUGGCACUUUUCCAGUCUGUAUUCUUUGUUUGUUGGUUGACCAGGCCUUUUGCAUUCAUGUCUUAGAGCGGCAGUAGAGGAGAGAAUUGGGGGUUUAAACAGUCAACACUGUGGUAUUUGUAAACUCUAGAAAACUGCUUCAGAAAUCAUGGUAGUACUUAUUCUAAAUAUUUCUGAUGAAUACCCCAAAGAGUUAGUGUGAUGGAAACACAUUGGAAUGUGCUUGUGUUGACCCCUAGCAAGUGAAUCUUGGUUAUACAUCAACAGGAGAAAACUCUUUUGUUGAAGACCUUGGGCUCAUGGUACAUCGGGCUCAGCGUCUACAGGGCUUCAGCUCUGAAAAUAUCUGUUGUCACAGAAGAGCAACCAAACUUCUCUCUCGCUUUUGUGGUUUUAGGUAAAGUGAUGAUUUCUGGGUCAGACACCAGCAGAGUGUCUUACAGAAAUAUUAGCCGAGGUCCAGAGCAAAUGAAGCAAGCUGACUCCACCUCGUCGCGGGGGCGACUUGUUACGCUGACGUUACGGCGGGUGGUUGGUGGUGUGGUAUCCGUGCGGGUUCGCUCCCCCGCCGUACCGUUCUCCUCCCGGCCGUGGGCGUCAGCGCGGCACGCCUGUACUGCAGCUCUUCCUGCCAGCGUGGUCAAGCAGCGCGGAGGCCAGCGUGGACUGCAGAACCUGCCUGAGAAGCUGGCUGUCUCCUCGAGCAAUUAACCGGGGUGGAGCCUGCAGCAAAGCCGUACCCAGCGUCUGAGCCGCUCAGCUGAGAGCUGGCAGGCAUCAGUUCGUAGAGCUGCCGUGUCAGUCGUGUGGGUAUGAGCAGAUCAAUGCUUCCGAUGGUUUUGAAAGGAUCUCGGCUGUUGCUGAGAGACUUUGACUCAUCAAGGACUUCAUCUAAUUGACUGACUACAAGGGAGCUGUUCCCUACUAUGGAACCACCAAGAAGGUAUCACCACAGUUAGGGAUCCAAAUCCUGCUCCCACGGACACUGAAGCUUUCAGAAGAAUGGCUCUGUUUUUACACUGAUUUGAAUGACAGCAGGGUUGUCUAUCUGUUUACCUGGUUUUCAGAGAUGACACCUAUAUGGCCCAUAACUGUGCACAUAAUACUAAUGAGAGCACUCAUGAUCCCAUUUUUAUUUGUGUAGAGUAGUUGAACGUGUAGUUGAAAGGCUACAGACAGAAUGAGAGGCUCUGUGUUUGCUGCGGUGUUAAUUGAAAACAAAUAUCAGUUUCAGAGGUAUGUGAAAUUUCAACUUUAUAGAAUUGCACAGGGUCCAGUUGCCUAAAGGUUUUACUGGAUGGCAACCCAAUGAUGUGGUCAGGGAUAUGGAAUAUAAUUGUUAGUUAGGUAGCACGUUCUGAUGUUCUGAAUGUGAAAGCUUCACAUUGAACAUUUGACAUGGCUGUUAAUCUGUGUGAGUCUUCCUUUUCUCUUCCAGGAGCAGAUGGUGUCAAUUCUUGGGUAACUUACGUUAUUUUACCUCCCUUUAAAGUGAAGAAGCAGCUGAG